GAAUACUCCAGGGGGUAGAGCACUGGAUGGGCUAGGGGUCCCCACAGGAUUACCAAACCUAACCAAACUCCGAAUACCUGGAAGUACUAUCCGGCAGACACACGGCGGGUGCUAACGUCCGUCGUGAAGAGGGAAACAACCCUGACCGCCAGCUAAGGCCCCCAAAUCGUGGCUAAGUGUGAAAGGAUGUGAGAAUCCCAAAACAACCAGGAUGUUGGCUUAGAAGCAGCCAUCAUUUAAAGAAAGCGUAACAGCUCACUGGUCUAGAUAAGGGUUCUUGCGCCGACAAUGUAUCGGGGCUCAAGCCACGUGCCGAAGCUGCGGGUGCAUCGCAAGAUGCGCGGUAGCGGAGCGUUCCGUAAGCCUGUGAAGCGGUACCCGUGAGGGGCCGUGGAGGUAUCGGAAGUGAGAAUGCUGACAUGAGUAACGGAAAGGGGUGUGAGAGACACCCCCGCCGAAAGUCCAAGGGUUCCUGCGUAAAGCUAAUCUGCGCAGG
rnacentral:ncRNA from 1 species